rnacentral:rRNA from 1 species
UGCAAGUCGAACGAACCUUCGGGUUAGUGGCGGACGGGUGAGUAACGCGUGAGAAUCUGCCCUCAGGAGGGGGAUAACAGUUGGAAACGACUGCUAAUACCCCAUAUGCCGAGAGGUGAAACUAAUUUCGCCUGGGGAUGAGCUCGCGUCUGAUUAGCUUGUUGGUGGGGUAAUGGCCUACCAAGGCUUUGAUCAGUAGCUGGUCUGAGAGGACGAUCAGCCACACUGGGACUGAGACACGGCCCAGACUCCUACGGGAGGCAGCAGUGGGGAAUUUUCCGCAGUGGGCGAAAGCCUGACGGAGCAACGCCGCGUGAGGGAUGAAGGCCUUUGGGCUGUAAACCUCUUUUCUCAAGGAAGAAGAUCUGACGGUACUUGAGGAAUAAGCCACGGCUAAUUCCGUGCCAGCAGCCGCGGUAAUACGGGAGUGGCAAGCGUUAUCCGGAAUUAUUGGGCGUAAAGCGUCCGCAGGCGGCCGUUUAAGUCUGUUGUUAAAUUGUGGAGCUCAACUCCAUCACGGCAAUGGAAACUGUUCGGCUUGAGUAUGGUAGGGGCAGAGGGAAUUUCCGGUGUAGCGGUGAUAUGCGUAGAUAUCGGGAAGAACACCAGUGGCGAAAGCGCUCUGCUGGGCCAUUACUGACGCUCAUGGACGAAAGCCAGGGGAGCGAAAUGGAUUAGAUACCCAUGUAGUCCUGGCCGUAAACGAUGAACACUAGAUGUUGGGGGAAUCGACCCCCUCAGUGUCGUAGCUAACGCGUUAAGUGUUCCGCCUGGGGAGUACGCACGCAAGUGUGAAACUCAAAGGAAUUGACGGGG